AGCGAACGCUGGCGGCAGGCCUAACACAUGCAAGUCGAACGAAGUCUUCGGACUUAGUGGCGGACGGGUGAGUAACACGUGGGAACGUGCCUUUAGGUUCGGAAUAACUCAGGGAAGCUUGUGCUAAUACCGAAUGUGCCCUUCGGGGGCAAGAUUUAUCGCCUUUAGAGCGGCCCGCGUCUGAUUAGCUAGUUGGUGGGGUAAUGGCCCACCAAGGCUACGAUCAGUAGCUGGUCUGAGAGGAUGACCAGCCACAUUGGGACUGAGACACGGCCCGAACUCCUACGGGAGACAGCAGUGGGGAAUCUUGCGCAAUGGGCGAAAGCCUGACGCAGCCAUGCCGCGUGGAUGAUGAAGGUCUUAGGAUUGUAAAAUCCUUUCACCGGUGAAGAUAAUGACUGUAGCCGGAGAAGAAGCCCCGGCUAACUUCGUGCCAGCCGCCGCGGUAAUAC
rnacentral:rRNA from 1 species